rnacentral:misc_RNA from 1 species
GAUGAAGAACGUAGCGAAAUGCGAUAAGUAAUGUGAAUUGCAGAAUUCAGUGAAUCAUCGAAUCUUUGAACGCACAUUGCGCCCGCCAGUAUUCUGGCGGGCAUGCCUGUCUGAGCGUCAUUUCAACCCUCAAGCAACUUCUGCUUGGUGUUGGGGAUCGGCCGUUAAACGCCGCCCCCGAAAUCUAUUGGCGAUCUCGCUGUAGCUUCCUAUGCGUAGUAGUAACAUCUCGCAUCUGGAGAGCGGCGCGGUCAUGACGUAAAACACCCAACUUCUCAGGUUGACCUCAGAUCAGGUAGGAAUACCCGCUGAACUUAAGCAUAUCAAUAAGCGGAGGA